GUGCCAGCAGCCGCGGUAAUACAUAGGGUGCGAGCGUUGUUCGGAAUUACUGGGCGUAAAGGGCGCGCAGGCGGAAUAGCAAGUCGGAGGUGAAAGCCCGGGGCUCAACCCCGGAGGGUCUUUCGAAACUGCUAAUCUAGAGAGGGUCAGGGGCCAGCAGAAUUCUUGGUGUAGAGGUGAAAUUCGUAGAUAUCAAGAGGAAUACCGGUGGCGAAGGCGGCUGGCUGGGGCCACUCUGACGCUGAGGCGCGAAAGCGUGGGGAGCAAACAGGAUUAGAUACCCUGGUAGUCCACGCCGUAAACGAUGAGCACUGGAUGUCCGGAGGGUUCGACCCUUCUGGGUAUCUCAGCUAACGCAUUAAGUGCUCCGCCUGGGGAGUACGGUCGCAAGACUAAAACUCAAAGGAAUUGACGGGGGGCCCGCACAAGCGGUGGAACAUGUGGUUUAAUUCGAUGCAACGCGAAGAACCUUACCUGGUCUUGACAUCCUCGGACUGCUUCAGAAAUGAAGUUUCCUCUUCGGAGGCCGAGUGACAGGUGCUGCAUGGCUGUCGUCA
rnacentral:rRNA from 1 species